CUUCGGGUAUUGAGGAUGGCGGACGGGUGAGUAACGCGUAAGGAACUUGCCUCUUGGUCUGGGACAACUGUUGGAAACGACAGCUAAUACCGGAUAUUAUGAGAUUCUCGCAUGGGAAACUUAUGAAAGCUAUAUGCGCCAAGAGAGAGCCUUGCGUUCCAUUAGCUAGUUGGUGGGGUAACGGCCCACCAAGGCGACGAUGGAUAGCCGGCCUGAGAGGGUGAACGGCCACAAGGGGACUGAGACACGGCCCUUACUCCUACGGGAGGCAGCAGUGGGGAAUAUUGGACAAUGGGCCACAAGCCUGAUCCAGCAAUUCUGUGUGCACGAUGAAGGUCUUCGGAUUGUAAAGUGCUUUCAGUUGGGAAGAAGAAAGUGACGGUACCAACAGAAGAAGCGACGGCUAAAUACGUGCCAGCAGCCGCGGUAAUACGUAUGUCGCAAGCGUUAUCCGGAUUUAUUGGGCGUAAAGCGCGUCUAGGCGGAAAAAUAAGUCUGAUGUUAAAAUGCGGGGCUCAACUCCGUAUUGCGUUGGAAACUGUUUUUCUAGAGUACUGGAGAGGUGGGCGGAACUACAAGUGUAGAGGUGAA
rnacentral:rRNA from 1 species